GAUUCUGGCUCAGAACGAACGCUGGCGGCGUGGAUAAGACAUGCAAGUCGAACGCUGAUUAUAGGGUAGCAAUAUUCUGUAGUCGGAGUGGCGAAAGGGUGCGUAACACGUGGGUAAUUUGCCGUGAAGUUGGGGAUAACUCGCUGAAAGGCGAGCUAAUACCGAAUGUGGCCUAACAAGGCUAAAGUUGGGGACCGUAAGGCCUGACGCUUCAUGAUAAGCCCGCGGCCUAUCAGCUAGUUGGUGAGGUAACGGCUCACCAAGGCUAAGACGGGUAGCUGGUCUGAGAGGACGACCAGCCUCACUGGAACUGAGACACGGUCCAGACACCUACGGGUGGCAGCAGUCGAGAAUUUUUCUCAAUGGGGGAAACCCUGAAGGAGCGACGCCGCGUGGGGGAUGAAUGGCUUCGGCCCGUAAACCCCUGUCAUUUGCGAACAAACCUUUCGGUUAAUAGACCGAAAGCUGAUAGUAGCGAAAGAGGAAGGGACGGCUAACUCUGUGCCAGCAGCCGCGGUAAUAC
rnacentral:rRNA from 1 species